rnacentral:rRNA from 1 species
UACGUAGGGGGCAAGCGUUGUCCGGAUUUAUUGGGCGUAAAGAGCGUGUAGGCGGCUAGAUAGGUCCGUUGUGAAAACUCGAGGCUCAACCUCGAGACGCCGAUGGAAACCAUCCAGCUAGAGUCCGGAAGAGGAGAGUGGAAUUCCCGGUGUAGCGGUGAAAUGCGCAGAUAUCGGGAAGAACACCCGUGGCUAAGGCGGCUCUCUAGUACGGUACUGACGCUGAGAAGCGAAAGCUAGGGGAGCAAACAGGG